rnacentral:tRNA from 1 species
GCCCGGGUGGCGUAAUUGGUAGCCGCGCUCGACUUAAGAUCGAGUUUCGUAAGAAGUGUGGGUUCGAGUCCCACCCCGGGCACAA